ensembl:snRNA U4 U4 spliceosomal RNA
AGCUUUGUGCAGUGGCGGUAUCAUAGCCAAUGAGGUUUAUCUGAGGCACAAUUAUUGCUAAUUGAAAAGUAAAACAUGCUCAUUUUAGAAACCUGAGAAACUAUAAAAUAAUA